rnacentral:rRNA from 1 species
GAUGAACGCUGGCGGCGUGCCUAAUACAUGCAAGUAGAACGCUGAAGGAAGGAGCUUGCUCUUUCCGGAUGAGUUGCGAACGGGUGAGUAACGCGUAGGUAACCUGCCUGGUAGCGGGGGAUAACUAUUGGAAACGAUAGCUAAUACCGCAUAACAGUAGAUGUUGCAUGAUAUCUACUUAAAAGGUGCAAUUGCACCACUACCAGAUGGACCUGCGUUGUAUUAGCUAGUUGGUGAGGUAACGGCUCACCAAGGCGACGAUACAUAGCCGACCUGAGAGGGUGAUCGGCCACACUGGGACUGAGACACGGCCCAGACUCCUACGGGAGGCAGCAGUGGGGAAUCUUCGGCAAUGGACGGAAGUCUGACCGAGCAACGCCGCGUGAGUGAAGAAGGUUUUCGGAUCGUAAAGCUCUGUUGUAAGAGAAGAACGAGUGUGAGAGUGGAAAGUUCACACUGUGACGGUAUCUUACCAGAAAGGGACGGCUAACUACGUG